rnacentral:rRNA from 1 species
UUAAAAGGAAGACGGGGGCCCGCACAAGCGGUGGAGCAUGUGGUUUAAUUCGAAGCAACGCGAAGAACCUUACCAGGUCUUGACAUCCCGAUGCUAUUUCUAGAGAUAGAAAGUUACUUCGGUACAUCGGUGGACAGGUGGUGCAUGGUUGUCGUCAGCUCGUGUCGUGAGAUGUUGGGUUAAGUCCCGCAACGAGCGCAACCCUCGUCCUAUGUUGCCAGCGGGUCAUGCCGGGGACUCAUGGGAGACUGCCGGGGGUCAACUCGGAGGAAGGUGGGGAUGACGUCAAAUCAUCAUGCCCCUUAUGUCUUGGGCUUCACGCAUGCUACAAUGGCCGGUACAAAGGGCUGCGAUACCGCGAGGUGGAGCGAAUCCCAGAAAGCCGGUCUCAGUUCGGAUUGGGGUCUGCAACUCGACCCCAUGAAGUCGGAGUCGCUAGUAAUCGCAGAUCAGCAACGCUGCGGUGAAUACGUUCCCGGGCCUU